rnacentral:lncRNA from 1 species
CAUGGGCAGCUUUAGUCACUCACGUUCGUUUUGGUGGUCACAGAAAGACAAAUAAACAUUUUCAAUUUGUGUUUAGCGGAGAUCUUCUGUGUAUAAAGGGCAAAAAAAGCAUCUAACAACGUACUUAGCUAUUCUACGAGCUAUUCUACGAUCUAUUCUACGAGCUAUUCUACGAUCUAUUCUACGAGCUAUUCUACGAGUGGUCUGAGGCAGUUGUUAAAUAAAAAGCGUUUUCAAGAGCAACUUUAGUAACGAUCGUUUCGGGAAACAGCUCAGAGAUCUAACUAUGCUCCUACAAAAGUUCUAAGGAUGAACGUAAUGCAGGAACGGGUAUCAAGAGGUAUUGUUGUCUGGUUUGAACUGAAAGUUGUUGGGCCAUCGGGCCUCUACAGGUAAUGUAGCUGAAUGUUAGGCUGUAACAUUAUCUCUCUCCAGGUAAUGUAGCUGAAUGUUAGGCUGUAACAUUAUCUCUCCAGGUAAUGUAGCUGAAUGUUAGGCUGUAUCAUGAGCUCUCUCCAGGUAAUGUAGCUGAAUGUUAGGCUGUAACAUUAUCUCUCUCCAGGUAAUGUAGCUGAAUGUUAGGCUGUAACAUGAGCUCUCUCCAGGUAAUGUAGCUGAAUGUUAGGCUGUAACAUUAUCUCUCCAGGUAAUGUAGCUGAAUGUUAGGCUGUA